CGGUAAUACGUAGGGUGCGAGCGUUAAUCGGAAUUACUGGGCGUAAAGCGUGCGCAGGCGGAUUGUUAAGCAAGACGUGAAAUCCCCGGGCUUAACCUGGGAAUGGCGUUUUGAACUGGCAGUCUAGAGUGUGUCAGAGGGGGGUGGAAUUCCACGUGUAGCAGUGAAAUGCGUAGAGAUGUGGAGGAACACCAAUGGCGAAGGCAGCCCCCUGGGAUAACACUGACGCUCAUGUACGAAAGCGUGGGUAGCAAACAGGAUUAGAUACCCUGGUAGUCCACGCCCUAAACGAUGUCAACUGGUUGUUGGGGGAGUGAAAUCCCUUAGUAACGAAGCUAACGCGUGAAGUUGACCGCCUGGGGAGUACGGUCGCAAGAUUAAA
rnacentral:rRNA from 1 species